GGGAACCGGCCGCGCUCUGUACGGGCCGGCUGUGGGCCUACGCCUGGGGUUGGGUUGAGGGGUGGAACCUACGCCGCUUUCCCUUCACAUAUUGCCCUCUCGGAGCUUGGCGGUGCUCCAGGGAGUCAACACAGGGGGAUAGAGCAGCUCUCCCUCACUAAAACCCAGUGCGGAGCCUUUCCCUCCGCCCUGCAUCCUGUCGUGAGGCACAAAUGUCCCCUCCCUCCAUUCUCCCCCCGCACGGUCUCUUCUCUGCCCGGCUGAUGCCUCUUUCCUUCCGCAGUGUGUCCCGAGGUUCCGAGCCCUUCAGAUGCUGCCGAUGGGCAAGAGGCCGAGCGCGGCAGGCCCGGGCAGGGGGCAGCGCCGGCGGUCUGCGCUCACGGCUUUGGGCGGCUACGGGUGAGGGGCGCCCCGAGCCCGAAACUCACAGCCUGGGGCUGAGGCCUCAUGUAGCAACCUCAUGCUUGAAAUGUUUUAGACAUGGGUAAUCACACCUAAACGUAAAGCAAUGCUCAGGACUUCUUAGGAAUAAAUAAUGCCUUCUCCUGGAAGGGAUGAAAACAGCAUCUGCCAGGAGCUGACACUGAACAUCAGUUUAUGAUUUCCUGAGCAGGUGAUUUCUGACUUCAUACGGGAUGAUCCCAGUUGUCACCUCUUAAGUGUGGUCUUGGAAAUAGAAGUGAGACAAGCGAUGGCUAAAAUUAUGUCUUCGAUGAUUAUGUUGAAACAGGCAUCUCACCCAUUUGUUAAAACAUGUUUCCUUACAGAAACUGCUGUAAUUUGACUGUGGAUUAAUUGACAUAAAUUAUGAGUAAAAUAAUUUUUUUUCAAAGAAUUGAAAUAAAAUGAGUAUGCUACCAAAA